GAAGACUUCUGAGAAACUAUAAAGAUUUUAAGAGAAAAAUGUGCUCUUUGUCUUUGCUAUGUAACUCCGUUUUGAACACAGGACUGCUGCCUCCCUUCCUUCCAGGAACCGGCAGCCUAUGUACUGAUCUGAUGCAGAGCUAAUCUUUUCUGAGACAUCCUCUCCUCCAGGGUCGAGCCUCCCAUAAUUUUGCUUCCCUGGGACAUAGUCUUCGCUGUGUCAACCGAAAGUCUGAAAAUGGCCCAUCAAAUUUUCCUGUGGGAGGUCUGCCCUACGCUGCAUACACUGAGGUCGAGCACAGACAUGCUGCUACCUGAGAAAUCCCUGGACAGCUCUCACCGAGUGAAGAAUAUUUGGGAAAUGACGUCCUUGACAAUGAUAAAAUUAUUUUCCAAAAUUAUACAACCUUACUAAAACCAUUCCAGUUAAAAUCUAGAUGAGAUUGACUGUCGUGAAUAGUCUUUCUUAGACUUAGAGAUUCCAGUUAAUGUAAUAUUUUGUAAAAAGAAUAAUUUGUGUAAACUUUGGAAUAGAAGAGACAAAAUAAUGCCCUUUGCUGGAUCUGCAACUGUAUACUUAGAAAAGCAGUACCUAGUAAAAAAGUACUAGAAUAAAUAAAAGACUUUGUUCA
rnacentral:lncRNA from 1 species